CAUCCCGCCACUGCUUUCGCCGAUGCCAUCGACGGCACCUGGCACGAGGAGGAGGAGGAGGAGCGGCAACAAGCCCCGGCAAAUCGCUCCUCAUCCGCUACCUCGGCCACGAUCGCCGUCGCCCAAUCUGCGGGCUGGCCUUCUCAUUUGGGCCUCAAUAGGCCGGCCUGAGACCUGUGGACUUCUCUAAAAGAAUGAUUCGUGGAUUUACCGUCACCAAUCGUGGCCUGCUCUGACUAGGACUCGGCGAGGAGCUCGCCGCCCUCUUGCCGCCGCAGCUUUCGCCGGUGCCCUGUCAUAAGCCGCCAUGGAAGAUCUGCCUUGCCGCGGGGUGCUCAGCCGAGGAGGCGCGGCGGAACGCCGCGGAAAAGAGGGGCGACCGAGAUGUGAGGAAAGCAUCAAGCGGAGGACGACGGGUGACGUGGAAGAAAGGAUGAGGAGGAGGAGGCGGAGAAGAAGAAGGGAAGCGGAAGUCGGUGCGCGCUUUCCUUCCUGAAGCCGACUGUGCUUAGGAAAAGAUAACGACGGCAGUAACUGCUUUCCUAAUCGGUGUCGGAAAUAGAAUCUCUUUCUACUUUCUCUCUCCUAUAAAUUAAUUAGGUCACAGGAGUUACUAAGGAUCACAACAACAACAAAGAAGGAAUCCUGCAACUAAUCUGCAUCGGGUACUUCUUGUUCUUCCUCUUUUUCGAUCUCUCUUAUGCUUUCUUUACUUGUUUUUGUGGUAUUCCAGUGGUGGUGUGAGUCUUACGCGUCCGUUGCUCGAAAGCGUGAAACGCCUGCAGAAAAGAAAUAUAACCAACGACUGUGCAGUGUGACAAUAGCCGGUGACGAAGAAAUGGAGCAGAAGUCACUUUCCGAGAUCGCAAAAAGAGUCCUGCAAUUGAUGCAUAUUCUUCCUCCCUCUGAAACAGAGACGCCACGCUUACCACCAUUUUUGGAUCGAUGUGCUCAGUGCGAUAAGCAAUUAUCUAACAGGGCACCCAUCUAUAUGUAUGGGGAUCUGCAAGGCUUCUGUUCUCCUGGCUGUCGGAAUUUAAGGAUCGAUUUGGAUGAAGAAGAGGCGAAAGCUAACAAAUCAAGUCAAAGGACGAGACGAUCAUAGACUCACAGAAAAAAAAAUAAACAGUAGCAUUUAGAAGAACAUAUUUUUGUUUUAGGGUUUGUGGUUUUGAACGAAAACUGAUGGCUUCUAUGGAUAGGGAAGGACUGCAGUAAAAUUAUUAGAUUUGCAUCACAGUUGGUCAUCGUCAGUCUGAGAGAGUUCCCAUGCACAGCAGAUCCAAAGACGAGACCUACCAGUGGAUAUUGCUUCAUCUUUUAUCAGUUUCCUCUCUGGUAAUCAUUCUUCUC